GCGGACGUGGUGAAAUUGGCAGACACGCUAGAUUUAGGUUCUAGUGAGAAUAUCUCAUGAGAGUUCGAGUCUCUCCGUCCGCAC
rnacentral:tRNA from 1 species